GCACACUCCCGAGUCUGCACAGGAAGCACACUGAUGAAAAAAUGGAGAUGCUUUUGGGCCUGCAAUGCAAGGGACACAUGUGAGCAGACAGUUGACCCGACACUGUUUGCUGCCUCCCUGGCUCUGUGUCCUGUCAUGUGUCAUCGCUGGCUUCGCCUUCACCACCUGCUGAAAUUUCUCAAUCUCAUCACAACCCAAGUCACAGCUUUUGACAGGUGGGGCAGCACAUGCUUUCAGUCAAAGGGGUGACAAGAGCAUUGCUUGUUUCCAACUGAAAGCGUUGGGUUUCUGACUGAUGUGUGAGUCACUUUUGUUAAGGGUGCCUUGAUGGUUCCCACCCUCUCU